rnacentral:rRNA from 1 species
CGUGUAGGCGGGAAUGCAAGUCAGAUGUGAAAUACCGAGGCUUAACUUCGGGGCUGCGUCUGAAACUGUGUUUCUUGAGUGUCGGAGAGGAAAGUGGAAUUCCCAGUGUAGCGGUGAAAUGCGUAGAUAUUGGGAGGAACACCAGUGGCGAAGGCGACUUUCUGGACGAUAACUGACGCUGAGGCGCGAAAGCGUGGGGAGCAAACAGGAUUAGAUACCCUGGUAGUCCACGCCGUAAACGAUGGAUACUAGGUGUAGGAGGUAUCGACCCCUUCUGUGCCGGAGUUAACACAAUAAGUAUCCCACCUGGGGAGUACGGCCGCAAGGUUGAA